ACACACAUAUAUACUGGUAAAGAAUUGUUAUUCCUUUUCCCAUUUCUUUGCCUCAAAGGCCUCUGAUUUCAAGAUUAUAAUAAUUUGGCCAUUCCAAGGGAGGUUCCCACCUUCCUUGGCAGACAUCUGUCUUUCAAACCAGGACAGUUGUCCAGGUCUGUGUCUCUGUACACUUUAUUUUUUGCUCCCUUAUUUUCCUUGUACCGCUUUUGGCCAGGUCGCUGAUCAGGUCCCUUUGCCCCAGCAGGUCCCCAUGCCUGGCUGGGCUGGGACGGUGCUGCACCUAGCUGGGCUGAGCUCCACUGGCACUGCCUUUGCCUCUCUCAGGGCAGCAGAUUUCUCCAAAGGAACCAUCCUUGAUAGCCUCACCUUUCAGCUGGGAAUUGCUUUCAAGCAAUUUUUAAGCUACUGCUGGGCUUUGCUGCCACCCUGGCACUGCCUCUGGGUGUGAGUCCUGGCUCCAUCACCUCCCUCCUUCCCAGAGCCUCUGUGCUCAUGCCAGGGAUGUGCAAACUCCUGCCAGUCCAGGCAGAGCUGUGGGAGGAGGCUGUCACAUGCAGCCCUGCAGAGUCCUUGCGGCAGGGUGUCUGUGCAUGCUGCCAAAAGGGCAUGUCCAGAGCAAAAGCAUUACCAAAAUCCUCCAAAUUACUCAGCAACUUUAAUUUUGGAGCAGAGGUAACACAGGGGGCAAUGGGUAGCAAGCUGGGACAGGGUGACAUUUUUGUUUCCUUUUCAGGCAGGGAAAGACUCAGCUGGGACCAGGGGGCUCUCCGAAGUGCUGGGUGACGGCUGAGCAGCUCCUCCUCCAGCUCAGAAUGCAGGAGAGGGCCCAGGGUCUCCAACUAGGUGGCGUUUUUUGGGAAUCUGCAGAUGAAAAGGACCCUCUGGCAUCUGUCAGAACUGCCCAUGGUUUCCACCUCUUGUUAGCAAAGUGGUGCUCCUGUUCCCAGCUCCUCUCCUCUCCUCUCUCCUGGAUUUUGUCAUUUACAGUUCUCCCAGUUCAUGAGCAGCACCAGAAAGCUCCUUUUCCACUGGAUGAUUUGUUGGAUUGAGAGCCUCAUGGGAGUCCAGCGUGGCUAGCUCUGGACUCUGGCUUCACCGACAAGGACAACAGCAAAGGAUGAGAGACACUCUUCUUCUUGGGAUGAACAUCCCACAACUUUAUUGUGGAACGCCUCCAGGGGAAAGAGAGAGUCCAGGAGGGAGGUAAUGGCAGCCAGGAAAAGAAAGAGAGCCUGGGAUGGAGCUGUCCAGGAGAAGAAAGAGAAAGAAUGGAAAUGGCAGGAAAUUUUAAACCCAGGGGAAGGUGGGCAGAGGAGAGGGGUCACAGCCAAUGGGAUACAACUGAUGGAGGGGCGAGGGGAGGAAGGAACCCAGGCUAAGAGCACCACCACGGGGCUUUGGAGAGGGGAGAACAGAACAAACCAUGUCAUACAAACAGAUAUUGAACUUAGUGCAAUAUAAAAAAUACUCAGUGCAAAAUUCCAAUCAUCCAGUGCAAAAUAAUAACUAAAUAAACUACUUAGUGCAACACAACAAUGAUUGAUUUGGGUCUGGAAAUGUAUCAGAGCAGAGAUGCAAUGGUGAACUGGACUAAGCAUGCACCAAAAGGCACUGCAGCAGCACAUGCUUUGAGGCACAUCCAGAUCGUGCAGCCCUUCUGCCAUGAGGGUGAUUGCAACCUGCUGGGGGUUAAUCAGUGCUUGGUGGAAGGGAUGUUGUUUUAAAUUAUUUGCAUUUCUUUCUUUUCUUCAUGGGAAACCAUCAGAAAAAAAAUAGGUAAGUUUUACUUUCCAUUUUCCAGAAAUUGGAGAAAUCUUCAAAUGGAAAAAUUCAUGGGUUGUAUUUCUGGGGGACAUUUGGGAUGGAAAUGGUUUGGAUACAUAUAAUGCAAUUAAUUUGAAUGAAUCAGUUUUGUAAUUUUAAGGGAAAUCAUUGCAGAACCACAGAAAGUGUGGUGGCUGCAGUCCUCCUGCAGUGACAGGUGUGGUUCUGUUGAAGCAGUGAUCCUGUAGAAGGGUGGAGCUUUCCUCUGAAGAUCCAGUGGGGGUGUAGAUGGGCCUGGUCUUCCUCUGAGAAUCCAGUGGGAAAAGGUUCCAAAUCUCAGAUUAUAUCCAGGUAAGAAUUCUUGGCUCCUCCCUAUGGGUGGUGCAUCUCACAAUGGAAUAAUGUAAUUUUAUCAGUGAGACUCAAUGGCCCUUUAACAGAAGACAUCUCCCUGGAGGGAGGGUUGGUUGUGGAAGAGAUAAAGAAAACUGCCCAAUUAACAGAAGAUAAUUGCCCCUCCUCUAACUGAUGAUAAUAGAUUACACACCUCCACCCACAAUUUGCAACCCAGGACAUGCACCUUCCCCUGCCCAGUCUGCCAGCUCCCUCUCCCACCCUGCUUCUUCCUUAGGCAGCCCCAGCCAAGAGCUCCCCUGGGGUGAGCUCUGCCCUGGUGUGUUGGUUCCAUCUCACCUGCAGUGAAUAUGGUUCUGGGUCCAGACAGAGCCCACUGGGUCCUGUCUGAUGAUGGCAAAAGUGUGAAAUGAGGUGACACACAACAGGACAUCCCUGAGAGAUUUAACCCGUGCUGCUGCGUGGUGGGCUGUGAUGGCUUCACCUUCAGGGAGGCAGUACUGGGAGGUGAUGGAUGCAGGAGGAUGGGCCAUGGUGGGGGGUCUCUACACAAGAUGUAAAAAAGAAGAAUUAUAUUCUCUGGCUUGAAUUUAAGCCAGAGAAAGGCAGCUGGGCAGUGGGGCUUUUGCCAGGGUACUUCCUAUCUCUCAUCUCUCCUGAUUGCACUCUCCUUCCUGAAAUCAGUACCCCCAAAUGGACCUGGAUCUGUCUGGAUUAUAAAGAGGGAUGGAUGGAAUUUUUCAGUGUUGGUGAGGGUAUGUCCAUCUUUGCAUUUCGAUUGAUAUUGUCUGAGAGAAAAAAAUCCACUUUUGGUUCUAUCUGGGUCCUGGGACCUCUCAAAAUAUGACUGUGGUGAAUGCAAGGGAGUGAGAUAAGGCUUUUCUAGGAGAACUUGGUAGUUCAUACUCACAGAAGGAUUGAGUUUUAAAGGAACCUGUGGAGGUUUCUGUGGCAACCAGCUGCUCAGAGCUGGGCUAACCUGAGGGCUGCCUUUGGUGUCUUUGGACCUUGUUCGGCUGAGCUGUGGAGGGUUUCCCAGGGCAGAGAUCUUGUUAUGUCUCGGGACCUCUGUCCAAUGCUGCAUCUCUCAACCCUUUGUCUUCGGUCAGAAUUUCUCCAGUUGCAACUCAUGUUGUCAACUCUCCUUGUUCUGUUGAACACAACUUCUACUGAAAAGAUGUUCCAGGAACAGGGAUUUUUUAAAAAAAUGUAUACAAUGAAAUUACUUUGGUGUCAUUUGUGUGUAUGUGUGUCAGCAUCAUUGUCUCUGAGCAAUGUCUCCUGCUCCUUUCAGCCUGUGGGAUUUGCAGGCACUUAGGAGAAAACGGCUCACUGCAUCCUGCUGGAUGAAGUCAUGUCAGUGGGGCAGGUCUGCUGGGCUAAGGAAAGGGUUACAGAACAGCAGUGGCAGCAACAUCAUGUUUUGAACAAACUACACCAGCUCAACAAGAGACCACUUCAACCAGAACAUGAAGAAAUCUGAAACAAAACAGUUUUUCUGCUCUACUGACUUGUGACUCUGGAAAGAAUAAUGGAAGAUGUCAAGAGGACAGAUUUAUUGUAGAACUGUGAUUAAUUUUAAGCUUGCAGUUAAAAAUAGCUUUUGGGCUAAGGAUAUAAAUUUGGUGAGCUUGGCAAAUGAAGUAAAUUCACUUGCACCUAGCUUGUGUCUCUUGCCUUCAUCUGUCUCACAGGUCCAUGGCUGUGCUUGUCCCCACACCUGCCAGCAGCACAAACCCUGGGGUUGAGUUCACCUGUGACCUGGUGAUAUCCCACACUGUGAGAUGGGUAACUCCAGAUUU